UACGGAGGGGACUAGCGUUGUUCGGAAUUACUGGGCGUAAAGCGCGCGCAGGCGGUUCUUCAAGUCAGAGGUGAAAGCCCAGAGCUCAACUCUGGAAUGGCCUUUGAGACUAGAGAACUAGGGUACGGGAGAGGUGAGUGGAAUUCCGAGUGUAGAGGUGAAAUUCGUAGAUAUUCGGAAGAACACCAGUGGCGAAGGCGGCUCACUGGCCCGUUACCGACGCUCAGGCGCGACAGCGUGGGGAGCAAACAGG
rnacentral:rRNA from 1 species